AAGGCCUUCGGGUUGUAAAGCUCUUUCAGACGGAAAGAAACGGUUACGGCUAAUACCCGUGACUAAUGACGGUACCGUCAGAAGAAGCACCGGCUAACUACGUGC
rnacentral:rRNA from 1 species